rnacentral:rRNA from 1 species
CUACGGGCCGCUGCAGUGGGGAAUAUUGCACAAUGGGCGCAAGCCUGAUGCAGCCAUGCCGCGUGUAUGAAGAAGGCCUUCGGGUUGUAAAGUACUUUCAGCGGGGAGGAAGGGAGUAAAGUUAAUACAUUUGCUCAUUGACGUUACCCGCAGAAGAAGCACCGGCUAACUCCGUGCCAGUAGCCGCGGUAAUACGGAGGGUGCAAGCGUUAAUCGGAAUUACUGGGCGUAAAGCGCACGCAGGCGGUUUGUUAAGUCAGAUGUGAAAUCCCCGGGCUCAACCUGGGAACUGCAUCUGAUACUGGCAAGCUUGAGUAUCGUAGAGGGGGGUAGAAUUCCAGGUGUAGCGGUGAAAUGCGUAGAGAUCUGGAGGAAUACCGGUGGCGAAGGCGGCCCCCUGGACGAAGACUGACGCUCAGGUGCGAAAGCGUGGGGAGCAAACAGGAUUAGAUACCCUAGUAGUC